GGCCCGGUAGCUCAGUUGGUAGAGCAGAGGACUGAAAAUCCUUGUGUCGAUGGUUCGAUUCCGUCCCAGGCCACCA
rnacentral:tRNA from 1 species